GAGGGUAUAGCUCAGUGGUAGAGUGCAUGCUUAGCAAGGAGGAGGUCCUGGGUUCAAGACCAAGUACCCCCA
rnacentral:tRNA from 1 species